rnacentral:rRNA from 1 species
AUGGGGAUUGGGGAUGCAUCACCUAGUGAAAACCAGUCUGCACACAAGGAACAGAGGGAUGAGACCACGCCACUUCUCCCGGUCAAGGCGGAAGAGGAAGAUGGGAUCCAUGAGUUCAAUGGAGCGUCUUUCUCGGGUGCAGUUUUCAAUCUGUCGACAACCAUCGUGGGGGCUGGAAUUAUGGCCCUGCCAGCAAGUAUCAAGAUGCUAGGCAUUAUCCCUGGUAUUUUGAUGAUCAUCCUUGUGGCAUUGCUCACUGAGGCAUCAAUUGACAUGAUGGUCAGGUGCAGCCACCAGGCCAAGAUUACAUCCUAUGGCUGGCUCAUGGGUGACUCUUUUGGUCAAUGGGGGAGGAUUGCACUGCAAGCAUCUGUGGUCAUAAACAACGUUGGCGUCAUGAUUGUAUACAUGAUUAUCAUCGGUGAUGUGCUAUCGGGAACAUCUACAACUGGUGUUCAUCACCGGGGUAUCUUUGAGGGGUGGUUUGGGCCUCAUUUCUGGAAUUCUCGUCCAGUUGUUCUCCUUGCCACAACUAUUUUUGUGUUUGCUCCAUUGGUGAGCUUUAAGCGAUUGGAUUCAUUGAGAUACACAUCUGCUCUGUCAGUUGCUCUUGCUGUGGUUUUUGUUGUCAUCACUGCUGGAAUUGCUAUUCUCAGACUGAUAGAAGGGACCGCGGAGAUUCCCAAACUCUUCCCUGAGAUACAUGAACUCAAUUCCAUCUGGGAACUCUUUACAGCUGUGCCGGUUCUUGUCACUGCCUAUAUUUGCCACUACAAUGUUCACAGCAUCGAUAACGAACUGGAAGAUAGAAGUCAGACUAAGCCAAUUGUGCGAACUUCAUUGGCUCUCUGUUCAAGUGUUUAUGUUGCAACAAGCUUCUUUGCAUAUUUACUCUUCGGCGAGGGUACCCUCUCCGAUGUGCUCGCUAAUUUUGACUCUGACCUUCAUAUUCCAUUCAGCUCUGUCUUCAAUGAUAUAGUCAGAGUGAGCUAUGUAGUCCAUGUCAUGCUGGUCUUCCCUAUAGUCUUCUUUGCCCUUAGGCUCAACCUGGAUGGACUCCUCUUCCCCACCUCAAGGCACAUUUCUCAUGACAACCGAAGGUUUAUCAUUAUCACCGUCUCACUCCUCGCUGUGAUUUAUCUUGCUGCCAACUUCAUACCAAGCAUCUGGGAUGCGUUCCAGUUCACCGGUGCUACAGCUGCUGUCCUGAUUGGUUUCAUCUUUCCUGCCAUGAUCAUACUGAGGGAUUCUUAUGGGAUUGCAACCAAGCGCGACAAGGUUUUAGCUGUAACCAUGAUUGUGCUUGCUGUGCUCUCCAAUUCAGUGGCCCUGUACAGCGAUGCGAUGAGCAUCUUCUACAGGAAGGUGGAGGCCUAG